UGUCAAGGGAUGGGAAUCGAACUCACGACCUUCCGCUUACCGGGCAGAUGCCAUGACCAUUAGGCUACCCUGGAC
rnacentral:tRNA from 1 species